AGAGCGAACGCUGGCGGCAGGCUUAACACAUGCAAGUCGAGCGCCGUAGCAAUACGGAGCGGCAGACGGGUGAGUAACACGUGGGAACGUACCUCUUGGUUCGGAACAACACAGGGAAACUUGUGCUAAUACCGGACAAGCCCUUACGGGGGAAAGAUUUAUCGCCAAGAGAUCGGCCCGCGUCUGAUUAGCUAGUUGGUGAGGUAACGGCUCACCAAGGCGACGAUCAGUAGCUGGUCUGAGAGGAUGAUCAGCCACACUGGGACUGAGACACGGCCCAGACUCCUACGGGAGGCAGCAGUGGGGAAUAUUGGACAAUGGGCGCAAGCCUGAUCCAGCCAUGCCGCGUGAGUGAUGAAGGCCCUAGGUUGUAAAGCUCUUUUGUGCGGAAGAUAAUGACUGUACCGCAAGAAUAAGCCCCGGAUAACUUCGUGCCAGCAGCCGC
rnacentral:rRNA from 1 species